UACGGGGGGAGCAAGCGUUGUUCGGAUUUACUGGGCGUAAAGGGCGCGUAGGCGGUCAGCACAAGUCAGUUGUGAAAUCUCCGGGCUUAACUCGGAAAGGUCAACUGAUACUGUGCGACUAGAGUGCAGAAGGGGCAACUGGAAUUCUCGGUGUAGCGGUGAAAUGCGUAGAUAUCGAGAGGAACACCAGUGGCGAAGGCGAGUCUCUGGACGACCCCUGACACUGAGGCACGAAAGCUAGGGGAGCAAACAGG
rnacentral:rRNA from 1 species